rnacentral:rRNA from 1 species
UACGAAGGGGGCUAGCGUUGCUCGGAAUCACUGGGCGUAAAGCGCACGUAGGCGGACUCUUAAGUCGGUGGUGAAAUCCUGGAGCUCAACUCCAGAACUGCCUUCGAUACUGAGAGUCUCGAGUCCGGGGAGAGGUGAGUGGAACUGCGAGUGUAGAGGUGAAAUUCGUAGAUAUUCGCAAGAACACCAGUGGCGAAGGCGGCUCACUGGCCCGGUACUGACGCUGAGGUGCGAAAGCGUGGGGAGCAAACAGG